CUACGGGUCGCAGCAGUAAAGAAUCUUCCGCAAUGGGGGCAACCCUGACGGAGCGACACCGCGUGGAGGACGAAGUCCUAACGGACGUAAACUCCUUUUGUGUAGGAGCAAAUUUUUGAGUUAACUACACGAAUAAGCACCGGCUAAUCACGUGCCAGCAGCCGCGGUAAUACGUGAGGUGCAAGCGUUAUCCGGAAUCACGGGGCGUAAAGCGUCCGCAGCCGGAGAUUUAAGUCUGAAAUAAAAUUUCUGCGCUCAACGCAGAAAGCGUUUCGGAAACUAAAUUUCUAGAGUGUGAGAGAGGUAAGCAGAAUCCCCGUUGUAGGGGUAAAAUCCGCAGAUAACGGGAGGAAUACCAAAUGCGAAGGCAGCUUACUGGCUCAUUACUGACGGUCAGGGACGAAAGCGUGGGGAGCAAACGGGAUUAGAUACCCCUGUAGUC
rnacentral:rRNA from 1 species